UACGUAGGGAGCGAGCGUUGUCCGGAAUUACUGGGUGUAAAGGGAGCGUAGGCGGGCUUGUAAGUUGAAUGUAUAAUCCAUCGGCUCAACCGGUGGCGGCGUUCAAAACUGCAGGUCUUGAGUGAAGUAGAGGCAGGCGGAAUUCCUAGUGUAGCGGUGAAAUGCGUAGAUAUUAGGAGGAACACCAGUGGCGAAGGCGGCCUGCUGGGCUUUAACUGACGCUGAGGCUCGAAAGCGUGGGGAGCAAACAGG
rnacentral:rRNA from 1 species